UUUAGUGUGCUGAGCAGGCGAGCUUAGAGAUGGGGGAAAGGAGAAAAAAAAAGGCAGAAAGGAAAGAGAAGGAGAAGCCCAGGGCUCCAAAGCAGCUGAGGUGUCAAAGACAAAGAUUUAAUGAAUGUGCCUGCGGUUCACCUGAACAGAUGAGCACAAGCUAGAAGGAAAGAACGAAGAAAAUGGAAAAAAGAAAGGAUCAUUUUUCAGAUUGGCAGCUCCCCUCGCAGACAUCUUUUAACAAGAAAAAAAAAAAGGACUCCAGCCUUGCGCUUAAAGGGCCAGCGUUGUUAUUCUGUUUCGUGGCAGCCGGUAGGGUACUCUGGUCCUAUCAAGUGGGAUCCGAUCUUGUUCUGGAGCAUGGCUCUGAGAGAUCACGUGGUAGCAUUUCAGAGAUGGAUGGAGAAGCACUCGCAGAAGCUACAGCAAGAUCAGGCAAACCUGUUGACUCAUUUAUCACAGCACCCACAGAUCCCUUUCCAAGGCAAGAGCAAUGCAGUGAACGCUGAUAUUCCUGAAGGCACAGAGGCUGCAAAGCCAGACUCAUUGCUUCGGUCCAGUCCGGAAUGCUGCGGUCCCAGUUACUCCCCCCUUCGCGCACCCCACAUGACAACCCCAGUCACCAUAACCUGGAGGCACGGGGAUGAGAUAUAAUUUAGUCUCUAAGCAAGUUUGUUUGCGGGCCUCUCCUGGGCAGAGGUUGCCAAUUAUGCUCAAUAUGCUGAACUCUGUCAUCUUAGGUUCUUGUCAUGCAAAAUACUAGGGUUGUUUUUUCUCUGCUGUUUUAAUGACAUUGUGGAGGAAUCCUAGAGAUGGAGCUCAGGGGAUGGUGAUGGAUAUGCUCUUAGGCCUCCUGCAUGUCCUCUGGCUUCUGACCCAACACCCCCCAGGCCUCUGCUUCUGCCUGUGGGGCCUGGAGUUCACAAAUGUCAUGCAUGCCGUGUGGGAAACUCUGAAUGCAUGGUCAUGAACUGGCUGAUGUGAUGAACUCCCACCUGUUCAUGCUCUCUGUAUGUGUGUAUAUAUAUCUCCUCAAUAUAUGUUCCAUUCUAUAUGCAUCCGAAGAAGUGGGCUGUAGUCCACGAAAGCUUAUGCUCUAAUAAAUUUG